rnacentral:rRNA from 1 species
UACGUAGGGUGCGAGCGUUGCCCGGAUUUAUUGGGCGUAAAGGGCGCGUAGGCGGCUCGGCACGUCCGUUGUGAAAUCGCCCGGCUCAACUGGGCGGGGUCGGCGGAUACGGCCGAGCUGGAGCAAGCUAGGGGGUAAUGGAAUUCCCGGUGUAGUGGUGGAAUGCGUAGAUAUCGGGAGGAGCACCAGUGGCGAAGGCGGUUACCUGGAGCUUUGCUGACGCUGAUGCGCGAAAGCGUGGGGAGCGAUCCGG